GGGGGUAUAGCUCAGUAGGGAGAGCGUCUGGUUCGCAAUCAGAAGGUCAGCGGUUCGAUUCCGCUUACCUCCACCA
rnacentral:tRNA from 1 species